UUUUUUUUUUUUUUUUUUUUAACAAUUGGGUUUGUUUUCUAACAGCUCUUUCUAACAGGUCAUCUUUGGUAAUUUUAUUUACUUUUUAAUUUUAAUUUGGUUUGUUCUUCUUAUAUUGCUUUCUAUUGUAUCUUUUGGAAGUUGCUUCUUUUUUGUUUAGUUGUGGCUUCAAUUUUUGUUAAUUUCUGUAAUAAUUUGUUAGAUUGUUUAUGUUUUUGGAAUGAUCUACUUCCCUUCUGUUAUUGUUUUCAUUUCUUUUAUGCUAUUCUGAGUUUAGGAAUAAGGAUAGAAAAGUGGGUUUAAUGGGAGAGUGCAAACAGGGAUAACGGAGUCCUAUAGGCUAGUUUUGUUUAAUCUAUGUAGAUAGCCAAAAUAGAUUAAUGUAUUGGUUAAAGUUCCUUUUCUCUUUAUCAAUAUUAUUAUAGUUUCGUGAUGAGAUAUUACUAGCAAUUUUACUAGGUGCAUAUAUGGAUUAAUUUAUAUAUGUGGAUCAUAAAUUGCAAUUUGAAAACCACUGCUGUUCAUUUCUCUCCUAAUAACUGGAAGAAGUUUAUUGUGGCUGGACCCAUUGUUUUGCCAUUGUUCCUCAUUUUUAUUAUCGUAGGCACUCUUUGGUGGAAAGGUUGUUUAGGAGGCAGGGUAUUAAUGGAAAAAGGUAUCAAAAAGGAACUGCAUCAUUCAAUCACUCUUUGGAAUUUUUCAUAUUUGAUUUCAUUACUAUUGCCAGAAUAUGUCCAGAGACAGACUAUUUUGGUGCUGUCAUACCAUUCCCUUCUCUCUAUUUUAAUUUCUAGACUAGAAAUGGAUUCCUUAAUUCCUUUACCCAACGAAAGAUGAACAACCUGAAAAUACAACCAUGCAAGCAACUGUAGAACUACAUAGAAUGGGAAAAUAUGUUUAUGCUACAUUGUUGUCCCAUUUCUGUAUUACUAGUAAUCAUGCACGUUGAGGUCAUCGUUGGUAUCAUAGGGGUGACGAGUAGAUCUGCUGCAAUACUACAAAAAUAAUUUUGAAACUUGAAAAUGAAAUAUGAUUAGAUGGCUGAAAUGACAAGGGAUUUCUGUAGUUCAAUAGCACGCCUUGCUUUCUUGGGUAUGGAUUUUAUUUGUUUGAAAUUCUGUUUUAUGGGUAAACGCUUAAGAGAACAAGGUAUGGUGAAUCAAGCAUUCUGUAGUUAGAGGUAUGGUAAAUCAAGCAUUCUGUAGUUAGUUUUCUUAAUUAAUACGCACUCAAGUCGAGCAGUCACAUACACAUACAGAGGCACACACUAAUUAAGCAUAGCAAAUGCAUUAGUAAUGUAGUUUCUAUAUAUCGUCUGAAGGACAUCCUUCCAAACUGACUGUUAUUGGGCAAAUCUUAAAGGGUUGGAUCUGCAAACUGGUUCCUUCACUUUGAGACAACUAAGAGCUGCUGCUAACAAUUUUGAUUCCGCAAACAAGAUUGGAGAAGAUGGUUUUGGGUCUGUAUGCAAGGUAAAACUUCUAAUACUUUCAUAAAUAACUUAAACUUUUUCUCCUAAUCAAUUAUGCAAGAUUGUGGCAAAUUUCCUGAAACAUUAGCAUUUGAAUGCGUGAUUUCAUAAUAAUUUAAUGCAUAGAAUAAGUCCAAUGCAGGGUGAAUGAUUAGAUGGUACCAUUAUGGCUGUAAAGCAACUAUCUUCCAAAUUCCCUGUUCUACCAUUCAGGUGACAUUCCCUGUUCCACCAUAUCACAGAAAAGUGCGGUGCUGUGACUAAUGUAUGUUUCAUUUUGGUUUAUACUGAUUAUUGUUUAGUUUUGUUCUUUAUUGUGUAUAAGAGUCCUUUAAAUUGAUUGCUAUUAUAAAGUUCUUUACACAACUCUUUCUCAUUGUUGACUCAUGCUAAUUGUGCAUUUGUUUGUUUACUAAAAUGAUAGUAGGAAUAAUCAUCUGACCUUAAUAUAUAUAUAUAUAUAUAUA
rnacentral:misc_RNA from 1 species